ACGCACGCUGGCGGCAUGCCUCACACCUGCAAGUCGCACGAGACCUUCGGGUCUAGUGGCGCACGGGUGCGUAACGCGUGGGAACCUGCCCUUAGGUUCGGAAUAACUCCCCGAAAGGGGUGCUAAUACCGGAUAAUGUCUUCGGACCAAAGAUUUAUCGCCUUUGGAUGGGCCCGCGUUGGAUUAGCUAGUUGGUAGGGUAAAAGCCUACCAAGGCGACGAUCCAUAGCUGGUCUGAGAGGAUGAUCAGCCACACUGGGACUGAGACACGGCCCAGACUCCUACGGGAGGCAGCAGUGGGGAAUAUUGGACAAUGGGCGAAAGCCUGAUCCAGCAAUGCCGCGUGAGUGAUGAAGGCCUUAGGGUUGUAAAGCUCUUUUACCCGGGAUGAUAAUGACAGUACCGGGAGAAUAAGCUCCGGCUAACUCCGUG
rnacentral:rRNA from 1 species